rnacentral:lncRNA from 1 species
UUUUAGGACAGAUUAGGUUUUUCUUCAAUAAAUUGUAGUUUUUCUAAAUCUUUGUUAAUUUGGCAUUCUUAGUUAGACUUUUGUUAGAAUUUUAUACUUGCUUGAUUUUAAGAUUUUUAGAAAAAAAAAAAAGAAAAGAAGGAAGAGGUGCAGCCAUGAAGAAUCUUUGGAGUCAAAUUCAGAUGUUGACAGCAGCUGUGGAGCUGAAUAAACUUGUAAUCAUUGAAGAACACCUUGUACAUUGCUUGACUUGUUGCCAAUUGAAAACUUAAUAGAAACCUACUGAAUCAAUACACAGGCAACUUGCUGCUGCCAAGUCAAAGAGAAAGAAACACUUUGAGUUCAAGCAAUGUAACCUGCUCUGACCUGUUGGAUUAGAGCUGAAUAAAGGAGCUUGAAGAAUCAAUUUACCUGCUCACCUGCUAAUUGAAGUACUUGUAGGAUUAAUUAGUGGUAGUUUAGUUGAACCAAGUGUAAUCAUUGAUUUCUUACCUGUUGCAAACUGUUUUCCAAUUUUCAAAUAUUUGUGUCAGCCUAUAUAAGGCUUAUUUUCUGG